AGUAGCAAUACUUUGAGUGGCGACCGGCGCACGGGUGAGUAACGCGUAUGCAACCCAUCUAUCAGAGGGGAAUAACCCGGCGAAAGUCGGACUAAUACUCGCAUAAAACAGGGACACCGCAUGGUGAUAUUUGUUAAAGAAAUUCGCUGAUAGAUGGGCAUGCGUUCCAUUAGGUAGUUGGUGAGGUAACGGCUCACCAAGCCGACGAUGGAUAGGGGAACUGAGAGGUUGGUCCCCCACACUGGUACUGAGACACGGACCAGACUCCUACGGGAGGCAGCAGUGAGGAAUAUUGGUCAAUGGGCGAGAGCCUGAACCAGCCAAGUCGCGUGAAGGAAGAAGGAUCUAUGGUUCGUAAACUUCUUUUGCAGGGGAAUAAAGUGCAGGACGUGUCCUGUUUUGUAUGUACCCUGAGAAUAAGGAUCGGCUAACUCCGUGCCAGCAGCCGCGGUAAUACGGAGGAUCCGAGCGUUAUCCGGAUUUAUUGGGUUUAAAGGGUGCGUAGGUGGUUUGAUAAGUCAGCGGUGAAAGUUUGCAGCUUAACUGUAAAAAUGCCGUUGAAACUGUCGGACUUGAGUGUAAAUGAGGUAGGCGGAAUGCGUGGUGUAGCGGUGAAAUGCUUAGAUAUCACGAAGAACUCCGAUUG
rnacentral:rRNA from 1 species